UACGUAGGAGGCGAGCGUUGUCCGGAGUUACUGGGCGUAAAGCGCACGCAGGCGGUCGAAAAAGUUUGGCGUGACAGUUGGUGGCUUAACUGCCAAAGGAUGCUGAAAACUGGUCGACUUGAGAGCUUCAGAGGGACACGGAAUUCCGGGUGGAGUGGUGAAAUGCGUAGAGAUCCGGAGGAACACCGAAGGCGAAGGCAGUGUCCUGGGGAGCAUCUGACGCUCAGGUGCGAAAGCCAGGGGAGCGAACGGG
rnacentral:rRNA from 1 species